rnacentral:rRNA from 1 species
CGAAUACCGGAGAAUGUUAUCACGGGAGACACACGGCGGGUGCUAACGUCCGUCGUGAAGAGGGAAACAACCCAGACCGCCAGCUAAGGUCCCAAAGUCAUGGUUAAGUGGGAAACGAUGUGGGAAGGCCCAGACAGCCAGGAUGUUGGCUUAGAAGCAGCCAUCAUUUAAAGAAAGCGUAAUAGCUCACUGGUCGAGUCGGCCUGCGCGGAAGAUGUAACGGGGCUAAACCAUGCACCGAAGCUGCGGCAGCGACGCUUAUGCGUUGUUGGGUAGGGGAGCGUUCUGUAAGCCUGUGAAGGUGUGCUGUGAGGCAUGCUGGAGGUAUCAGAAGUGCGAAUGCUGACAUAAGUAACGAUAAAGCGGGUGAAAAGCCCGCUCGCCGGAAGACCAAGGGUUCCUGUCCAACGUUAAUCGGGGCAGGGUGAGUCGACCCCUAAGGCGAGGCCGAAAGGCGUAGUCGAUGGGAAACAGGUUAAUAUUCCCGUACUUGGUGUUACUGCGAAGGGGGGACGGAGAAGGCUAUGUUGGCCGGGCGACGGUUGUCCCGGUUUAAGCGUGUAGGCUGGUUUUCCAGGCAAAUCCGGAAAAUCAAGGCUGAGGCGUGAUGACGAGGCACUACGGUGCUGAAGCAACAAAUGCCCUGCUUCCAGGAAAAGCCUCUAAGCAUCAGGUAACAUCAAAUCGUACCCCAAACCGACACAGGUGGUCAGGUAGAGAAUACCAAGGCGCUUGAGAGAACUCGGGUGAAGGAACUAGGCAAAAUGGUGCCGUAACUUCGGGAGAAGGCACGCUGAUAUGUAGGUGAAGUCCCUCGCGGAUGGAGCUGAAAUCAGUCGAAGAUACCAGCUGGCUGCAACUGUUUAUUAAAAACACAGCACUGUGCAAACACGAAAGUGGACGUAUACGGUGUGACGCCUGCCCGGUGCCGGAAGGUUAAUUGAUGGGGUCAGCGCAAGCGAAGCUCUUGAUCGAAGCCCCGGUAAACGGCGGCCGUAACUAUAACGGUCCUAAGGUAGCGAAAUUCCUUGUCGGGUAAGUUCCGACCUGCACGAAUGGCGUAAUGAUGGCCAGGCUGUCUCCACCCGAGACUCAGUGAAAUUGAACUCGCUGUGAAGAUGCAGUGUACCCGCGGCAAGACGGAAAGACCCCGUGAACCUUUACUAUAGCUUGACACUGAACAUUGAGCCUUGAUGUGUAGGAUA